rnacentral:rRNA from 1 species
GUAGGGAAUCUUCCACAAUGGACGCAAGUCUGAUGGAGCAACGCCGCGUGAGUGAAGAAGGUCUUCGGAUCGUAAAGCUCUGUUGUUGGUGAAGAAGGAUAGAGGCAGUAACUGGUCUUUAUUUGACGGUAAUCAACCAGAAAGUCACGGCUAACUACGUGCCAGCAGCCGCGGUAAUACGUAGGUGGCAAGCGUUGUCCGGAUUUAUUGGGCGUAAAGCGAGCGCAGGCGGAAUGAUAAGUCUGAUGUGAAAGCCCACGGCUCAACCGUGGAACUGCAUCGGAAACUGUCAUUCUUGAGUGCAGAAGAGGAGAGUGGAACUCCAUGUGUAGCGGUGGAAUGCGUAGAUAUAUGGAAGAACACCAGUGGCGAAGGCGGCUCUCUGGUCUGCAACUGACGCUGAGGCUCGAAAGCAUGGGUAGCGAACAGGAUUAGAAACCCCGGUAGUCC